CCUACGGGAGGCAGCAGUGGGGAAUAUUGGACAAUGGGGGGAACCCUGAUCCAGCCAUGCCGCGUGUGUGAAGAAGGCCCUCGGGUUGUAAAGCACUUUCAGUGAGGAAGAACGCCUGGUGGUUAAUACCCAUCAGGAAAGACAUCACUCACAGAAGAAGCACCGGCUAACUCCGUGCCAGCAGCCGCGGUAAUACUGAGGGUGCGAGCGUUAAUCGGAAUUACUGGGCGUAAAGCGCGCGUAGGUGGCUUGAUAAGCCGGUUGUGAAAGCCCCGGGCUCAACCUGGGAACGGCAUCCGGAACUGUCAAGCUAGAGUGCAGGAGAGGAAGGUAGAAUUCCCGGUGUAGCGGUGAAAUGCGUAGAGAUCGGGAGGAAUACCAGUGGCGAAGGCGGCCUUCUGGACUGACACUGACACUGAGGUGCGAAAGCGUGGGUAGCAAACAGGAUUAGAUACCCUGGUAGUC
rnacentral:rRNA from 1 species